rnacentral:rRNA from 1 species
GAUGAACGCUAGCGGGAGGCCUAAUACAUGCAAGUCGAACGGUAACAUGGGUAGCAAUAUCUGAUGACGAGUGGCGCACGGGUGAGUAACACGUACACAACCUGCCUUAAACUGGGGCAUAGCCUUGGGAAACUAAGAUUAAUUCCCCAUAACAUUGCGGAACGGCAUCGUUUUGCAAUUAAAAUUACGGUGGUUUAAGAUGGGUGUGCGUCUGAUUAGCUAGUUGGUGAGGUAAAGGCUCACCAAGGCAACGAUCAGUAGCUGGUCUGAGAGGAUGAUCAGCCACACGGGCACUGAGACACGGGCCCGACUCCUACGGGAGGCAGCAGUAGGGAAUAUUGGACAAUGGGCGCAAGCCUGAUCCAGCCAUCCCGCGUGAAGGAUUAAGGCCCUAUGGGUUGUAAACUUCUUUUCUCUGGGAAUAAAAAGUGGGGUUUACCCUGCCUUGAAGGUACCAGAGGAAUAAGCACCGGCUAACUCCGUGCCAGCAGCCGCGGUAAUACGGAGGGUGCAAGCGUUAUCCGGAUUCACUGGGUUUAAAGGGUGCGUAGGUGGCUUUGUAAGUCAGUGGUGAAAGCCCGGGGCUCAACCCCGGAAUUGCCAUUGAUACUGCUU